AGGUGCCCCCCUGGGCAUCAGCCCACCGGGAAAUUCUCCUGUAAUGUCUAUGGCCAAUCUGCCCCUGACAGUGACCCACCUCAGCCAGUGAUUGACUGAGCAGGCAUUUCUUGUGUAUCAAGAUGAAACCAGGAAUUAGAGACCAGCAGAGACCUGUACGCAUUGGAAUGUGCGUGGCAGGGAUCAGUGAGGGCGGGUAUGCCUUCUUUGUUUAACUUUAAACCCUUUCUAAAGAAUCCACCUCCCACCUCAGCCUUAAAGGGGUUUUCUGAGACUUUUACAAUGAUGACCUAUCCACCCGGGAUCCCACCGAUUACCUAUUUGAGAAGGCACAGGUGUUUGCAAUAGUGCCAUGGCCUUCUCUCAGCUGAUCAAGCUGUACAUUGCACAGUAUAGAGGCUGUACUUGGUAUAGCAGCUCAGCCUCAUUCACUUCUAUUGGGCUGAGCUGCGCCUAGGCCAAGUGACCAAUGAACGUUACGUCACAUUGCCUAGAGAAGGCUGCAGAGCUCCCAUGCCUUCUCGAACAGCUGAUCAGCGGGGGUCCCGAGGAUAGGUCAUCAGUAGAAAAGUCUCGGAAAACCUUUUUAAAUUAUGAGAGUGCAUACAAAUAAGAAAUCUAGCUCUGCUACAUCUGUACAAAGAAAUAAUCAGGAGUAUUCCCUAAUUUUUACAGCUAUUUAAUUAAAGGGCACAUUUUUAAUAGAAGAAACAAUUUUGUGAGUUGGUCCAAUACUCCUAAGACUUGAUCCUAUCAUUUCUUCUUGCAUUGAUUACACUGGGCCCCAGUGAGUCCACUUAUUUAUAACUGGCGUCAGUGUGGAGGAAUUUAGGGUGCAUUUACACCAACAGAUUAUCUGACCAAUGGUGUGUAUAACAAAGGAUCUGUGAGUGUGCACGGCCAUUUGACCAAUGAUUGGUCAGGAAAUCUGUCAGAUGAUCUGUUGGUGUAAAUGCACCUUUAGUGUCGGCAGGUGCCUGGGCCCCUAUAAUAAAGUGCUUGGUGUAGAUACUGUAUGUGCAACAUGCAAGUGCCUGAAUCAUUUUCUGUGUAAACAGUCUGAUGAAUAUGGUCAUUUCAAUUUUACGUUUUCGAGAUUGUUUUCAUAACCGUAUUUAUUUUACCAGUGCGUGUGGACCUCCCGGCUUGAAGAACAAGUUGCUUAGAUGAGGUGGCCGUAAAUAAAUUAGGACAUUUUGAGAUUACGUCAUAUGAUGAGAUAUGUCACCAUGUACAGACAUCCUGACUUAUGCUGCCUGGAAAUAAGUAUAUACUCCUGGUAUAAAGUAAUUUAUUAGCUGAUACACAUUGCACAGUAUUUAUCCAUCCUGCUCUGUUUAUAGUGCAUCUAUCAUUAGACAGAAUUUGUGCCAAAAUUUUGGUCUACAGGAAGAAAAAAGGACAUUUGUGCAGUAUGUCUACCAUGAUGUGUCAAAUCUAUCACACAGCAUGAGCCACUGUGAUAAAUUUGGCACGGCUUCUGCCUUUCUCAUCUAGUUUUAAGCUGACAAAAUUGAAGACCCCCCCCUCAUCGUUACAUCUAUUGCUGGACAUGAGCAGGCGAUGCAUGACACAGGGAUGCACGCGCAAAGUAGCUAUCCUCCAGGCGGAAGAAAACUGUCUCUCUAGCGUUACUUAUAGGGCGGGUGACUCUGGUUAUGUCAUGUUUCAAGUGUCUUUCAUGGGUCAGACGUUGACUUUCAGUGUGGCCCCUUUCACACGGGCGAGUUUUCCGGGCGGGUGCAAUGAGUGAGGUGA